UACGUAGGCAGCGAGCGUUGUUCGGAGUUACUGGGCGUAAAGGGUGUGUAGGCGGUUGUUUAAGUUUGGUGUGAAAUCUCCCGGCUCAACUGGGAGGGUGCGCCGAAUACUGAAUGACUUGGAGUGCGGGAGAGGAGAGUGGAAUUCCUGGUGUAGCGGUGAAAUGCGUAGAUAUCAUUUGGAACGCCAAUGGUGAAAACAGGUUGCUGGGAGUAUGCUGACGCUGAGACACGAAAGCCAGGGGAGCGAACGGG
rnacentral:rRNA from 1 species